CCGUAACUAAUACAUAUCAACCCUUAACUGAUACAUGAAAUUCACGUAAAUUCUAAGUGGGUGUCUUGAAUUCCGUUUUUCCGCGUGUGAUCAUUUUUCUUAUAAGAAUAAAAGGCAGCCUUUCGAAUCUGUUUACGUUUUAAUUUUUUUGUAGCCCCAAAAAAAUCUCGAUAAGCGCCACAGCAAACCGGCGCGCCGUUGAACGCGAAACCCGCAAUGUGAAGGUGUUUUUAUUCAAUGAACAUUGAAUAUUUCGACGACGAUAAUUACGACGACCGUUGACGUUGUUGGGUUCGCUUUACUGCAACUAGGUUAUGCAACUACCAAGAAGCGAGAUUAUUGGUGUCUGCAAGACCCAGCUGGAAUGGCCGGAGCCGACGAAUCUGCUUGGGAAAAUCUUAAAAUGCAACUAUCGAGACUGCAACAACCGUACCAAGUUCACUGUACUAACAACAGCAGCAGGAAAAACAACAGAUGUUUCCGGAAAAGCAACUUGGCAAAUGCGCAACCUUCACCCCCGCUUGAACAAAGGUUCGAGCCAGAAAUUGGUGGUGACGAAUAAGGAGGAAAUCCGGAACAACAAGGGCUUGGUGGCUAGGAGCAGGAGUUACUCAAACAGUAAGUUUUCAUAUUUUUAAGUAGAUUGGAUUCUAAAGAAGUGACUAUUGUAUGUUUAGUAGAUUGUGUAAUAAACAAUGAAAAAUAAAUUU